GAGAGGAGAAACCCAUCGCUGCGCCGCUAAUAAUAUGCAUUAAUGUGACUUUGGAUCAGGAGAAAUGUGUCCCUGACCCACAAAUCACAUGCAGUAACAGGACUAUGGUUCCUGCCUGUUGCUGGAAUUCCCUGCCAGGACCUACUGAACUGUACUGUUCUUCCUGUAUCUUAAAAGUCCCCCCCAAAGACCUACCUGUAUAAAGAAAACUGAAUGAUGCACCCGAAUUUAUCAGCAGUCAAAACGCUACAAAGAAUCACCAACUUUUCCCAACAACCUCAUGGCAGGUUUAUACCCAUCCCUUUAGAUUGUAAGUUCUUGUGAGCAGGUCGGUCUCUUUAUUCUUAAUAAUAUUAUUAUAUUAGCCUUGUUUAUUUAUAAGUCCCCUGUUUGUUACAAUGUUGUUGUAAAGCUCUUACUGGUACUGUAGAAAUUAGUGAGGAUGAUGAUAGUGAUUGCUCCCUUUGAGAGGAAUCCAUGUAUAUGAGAACGGUGUUCACUUUUGCCUUGGAGCGAACCAUUCUCCCAACCAUUAUAGGCAGGUAAAUGGUAUCAAGCCUGUCCCAAGCCCUUUCCUAAAGGAAUUAUGGGAAAUUAUACUUCUAGUACCAAUCAUUGGCUGCUUAACUCUACCUCCUCUGCUUGUAACCCCUCACCCUUUCCUGAAUCAAUACAUUUGUAGCAUAAAAGAUACAAGAUUGCUUUAUCAUAUAAUUAUAUUUAUACACAGGUAUGGGAUCCCUUAUCUGGAAACC